rnacentral:rRNA from 1 species
UACGGACUGUGCAAACGUUAUUCGGAAUCACUGGGCUUAAAGAGUCCGUAGGCGGCAUGUUAGGUGAGGUGUGAAAUCCCACGGCUCAACCGUGGAAUUGCGCUUCAUACCGGCGUGCUAGAGGAAGAUAGAGGUGGGCGGAACUGAUGGUGGAGCGGUGAAAUGCGUUGAUAUCAUCAGGAACACCGGAGGCGAAGGCGGCCCACUGGGUCUUUUCUGACGCUGAGGGACGAAAGCUAGGGGAGCGAACGGG